UCCCUGGUGGCUCAGGUGGUAAAGCAUCUGCUUGCAAUGUGGGAGACCUGGGUUCGAUUCCUGGUUUGGGAA
rnacentral:tRNA from 1 species